rnacentral:lncRNA from 10 species
GUUUCAUGGGAGAAGCGCUAAACUUUACCUCAACAUUUAUGUAAAGUUAAAGCUGCACAGAUUCUGAGUCUUGAAAGUUUAUUUCAAAGAAAAGACAAUGCCUGUGCCACAUAUUUGACUUGGUUUUAUAAAUAUUACGAAGCUCCAGGAAAUAUGAGCAGGAUCUCAAAUAUAUUCAACAAGCUUCCAAUUUUUGUCUUUUGAGAUGGUUGCUCUUGGAACACAGAAAUAUGCUUUAAGAUGUCAAGCCUCCUCUGCUGAUGCUGUAUGGAGAACAGACAAGCUUUCCCAUCAAGCCCUAACCAAACUGCAGAACUGUGAAUAAAAUCAAUAAUUGUUAUGAAAAGGCA